rnacentral:rRNA from 1 species
GACGAACGCUGGCGGCGUGCUUAACACAUGCAAGUCGAACGGAAAGGCCCUGCUUUUGUGGGGUGCUCGAGUGGCGAACGGGUGAGUAACACGUGAGUAACCUGCCCUUUACUUUGGGAUAACUUCAGGAAACUGGGGCUAAUACCGGAUAGGAGCUCCUGCUGCAUGGUGGGGGUUGGAAAGUUUCGGCGGUUGGGGAUGGACUCGCGGCUUAUCAGCUUGUUGGUGGGGUAGUGGCUUACCAAGGCUUUGACGGGUAGCCGGCCUGAGAGGGUGACCGGCCAAAUUGGGACUGAGAUACGGCCCAGAAUCCUACGGGAGGCAGGAGUGGGGAAUAUUGCACAAUGGGCGGAAGCCUGAUGAAGCAACGCCGCGUGCGGGAUGACGGCCUUCGGGUUGUAAACCGCUUUCGACUGUGACGAAGCGUGAGUGACGGUAAUGGGUAAAGAAGCACCGGCUAACUACGUG